GUGCCUACGGGACGCAGCAGUGGGGAAUAUUGCGCAAUGGACGAAAGUCUGACGCAGCGACGCCGCGUUAGGGAUGAAGGUUUUCGGAUCGUAAACCUCUGUCAGGAGGGAAGAAAGCGCAUGGCUGAUUGGCGCCAUGCGUUGACGGUACCUCCAAAGGAAGCGCCGGCUAACUCCGUGCCAGCAGCCGCGGUAAUACGGAGGGCGCGAGCGUUAAUCGGAAUUACUGGGCGUAAAGCGCGCGUAGGCUGUUGUGUAAGUUGGGGGUGAAAUCCCACGGCUCAACCGUGGAACAGCCCUUGAUA
rnacentral:rRNA from 1 species